GCUCAGAACACAAAUCUCCUCAUCUACUGGGUGGCAUGAGGUCCUUCCCCCAGUUGGUGUAGCUGUUGUGGCCUAGGGUAGGCUCUGGAAGGCUCCUAGGAUGAUGGGAAUGGGGCUUCAUGGAUAGAUCUAGACCAGAAGAACAUGGUUCCAGCCACCUCUGACAGUAUGCACUGCAGCCCUCAGGAAUCUUAGUAAAUCCACAUCUGUGGCAUCUCACCUGUAUCACAGUGUCCAGAUGUGUUCUACUGUCCUAGGACUAUUUCCUUUUCUGACCAUGAAAUUGUCUGUUGAUCUUGUGCCCUCAAGUUGAUUCUGCAUCAGAGGAGGGAUCAUUUUCUCUUCUCUGCAGAAUUGCUCUGGUGACUGAAGGAAUACAAUGAGGUCCAUCAUGAAGAGAGAAGGGACUCCAGGAAGCCACCUUGGUACCAUUUCUGACCCUGUAAGAUGCAAUACUAAUAAUAAACCAGUAGGGGUCAGAACAGACCACAAUUUGCAAAGAUAAGCUUGAUCUUGGAAAUGCUAGGUAAGUUAUAGAGUGAUAUUGUCCUUUACCUACAGGGAGAUCCCCAGGCUUGAAUGGGGACUCUGUGUGGCUAGGAGCAUUUGGAGGUCCUGUCUGGGGUCUGAGGUGUGGGACAAAGCUCUCUAUGUUGGUGCUCUGAGACUGGAUGCCCAGCCCUGCCUUUGCAACCCUCCACAUAGUCACUAAGGCCACUUCUUUAGAAUUAGUAAAACUGCCCCCAUUCAUAUGUUGACGCCUCACCUCAUUGUUGGUGUGUAUGCAGAAGUCAUCUAUAAGAAGGAAAGGAGGUUAAACAAGGUCAUCCAGGUUAGGAUGAUCCCACAGGAACCUUGUCCUUCUGAAUAGAUGUCCAGGGAGCUCUCUCCAUCCCUCUCAGGCCACAAGGAGAAGCCUGUGUGGACAGAAAAGAAGGGAGCCCUAUGAAGACAGCCGAUGACAGAGGGGUCAUCUGCUGCCUCUUCACUUUGCACCUUCAGCCUGCAGAACAUUGAGAAGACACAUCUUUACUAUCUGAGCCAAAUAGACCAAGGAGAUGUGUCUCCCUAUGACAGUCCCUGAAAAGCGACUGAGGCAUGACAGGAAGGUGUGCAUUUUCCUUGACACCUCUCUCUCCCUCUUGUUCUCUCUCUCUCCUCUUCCUGGAUUCCUGAGGUGAGCAGCUCUGCCCUGCCACAGAAGCCCUGUCAUGGGGUGCCAUGGUCUGUGGCACACAGACCCCAGCCAAGGUGCCACGGUCUAUGGCAUGAAACCUCUGAAAUCAAGAAUCAAGAUUAGUCUUUUCCCCACAAGGUGCUGUGCAGAGAUUUUUGCUCACAGUGGUGGGAAGCUGAUGAGCACACCUGCACCUUGUUAAAUACAGCUGUUCCUCCUAUGUGUGCAGGACAGUCAGCUGCUCUCCAUUUCAAUAAUCUCAAUGUGUCUGGUGCUGCCACCUGCUGGUCUACUUUGAAUUACAAGUCAUUUGUCUCUUAAGGGAAAGUUUUGUUGUAGCACAUACUUGUUUCUCUUUAAUGGGCUCCAUGCUUUUGUCUUAGCUUUUGCUAAUCCCACUGUAAAAAUAAGAAUUAUUUUUGCAUACUGAAUUACUUUCAUCAUUUUCAGUUUACUUUGUGAAAUUUCCCCCUGAUCUCAGAUUGGAUAAUACUUGAAAUAUCUCCACAUAUUAUGAAUCAAUCCCUUUGUGGAAACAUAAUGAGAGUUGGGAUAAUAGUGGCUAUAAGAGGGUAAUGUUGUCUGUUGUCAGCUGUCCAUGAUCACCAUCACCUUGGGGAGCACAGAUCACAGAAUCCAUUUUUCUAUUAUGUGUUUUUUAAAAUUGCUCAACUGAGGCACUUGUAUGAUUCAGACACCAAAGUGAAUAAUUCUACACCCACAAGCACCUAUUGUCAGAGGCAUAGACAGAGGAGGUAUCAGUGGAAUCACCAGGUGAGGAGCUACAGGAGACUGAGAGGACCAUCUGCAGUUUGGACCUCUCUGGAAGACUCUGAGAAUACAAAAUUAGGCAGUCUUUUUUUUGUUUUUUUGUUUUGUUUUGUAUGUGUGUGUGUGUGUGUGUGUGUGUGUGUGUGUGUGUGCCAGGAUUGAACUCAGGAGCACUCAAACACUGAGCCACAUCCCCAGCCCUAUUUUUGUAUUUUAUUUAGAGACAGGGUCUCACUGAGAUGCUUAGCACCUUGCUUUUUCUUUAGGCUGCUUUGAACACACAAUCCUCCUGCCUCAGCCUCCCAAGCCACUGGGAUUACAAGCAUGUGCUACUGUGCCCAGCCCAAAUUAGGCAGUUUUUAUAGACAGAGGAGAUAUCAGCAGAAUGACCAGGUUAUGAGGUAUAGGAGGCUAAGAGAACCACCUCCACUCUGGAGUUCCCUAAAGCACUCUGAGAAUACAGAAUUAGGCAGUCUUUACCUACACUGACAGAUGAGUUCAGGAUUAUGGGGAGAAACAGAGAAUCCCCUAUUUCUAAGACCAAUAUCCCUAACAGCCAGACCUGCUAAUACAAUUAAUGUCUGUAGUGUGAACUUCAAUCCCUUUAUUAAAUCCAGUCCUGCUUUGAGUAUCUGUUAGCUGUAUAAAUCUCAUGGGAUACCACUAUGUGGACUCCCAACAUUCACUACUCCAUGUCUUUUAGGAAAUAAGGAGAGACACACCCUGGUCUGCUCUGAUGGAGCUGAGGGGAUGGAAAGAUGGCGAAUACACAAAGAGGUACCCUCUCCCCUUCCAGUCAAUGUGCUUCAGAGCCUGGCUGCCUAAGUGUGCAUUUCUGUCAUCACCAAGUAUCUAGUAGUUCCUUAAAGAACCCAAUUCUAAUGGCUGUUUUAGGACUGCAGGACUCAAGUAGGGCGAGGGAGAAAUGUGUGUGAGUGCAGUCUCAUUGGUCCUGAGGUUGCCACUAAUUGGGGUUAGUUGUACCUUUGACUCACUGUGGGCACCCAAGAAAGAGGAAAGGGCAGAGUACUCAGAGGGAUGAGGUUCCUAUGUAAGGAACAGAGUCCAGGCGUGGUUAGGGGGACACUCUAUGGGGUACAAAGUUGGAGAUGGCCAGUUAGUGGUCAGAGUGCAACAGGUGUGUGGGUGUGUUGGGAGGAGUGGGGACAACCUCCAGAACCCAUAUUUCCCUUCAUUCUCUGCUGAACUCUUUUUCACUUGCUUACCUGCUUCUUUAUCACUUUACCCUGCCUAAAUCCAGGGGCCCUCAGGGCAGCCAUUAAUAACUCUGCUCCAUUCUGAACUAGGAGAUGAACAAUAUUAGAAUAUGCAGUUUUUAGGAACUUUGUAGAUUCAAGGGUGUCAAUGAGGAGCAUUGCAGAGAGGGAACCUCCCCUUCUGAAGACUUUGAUCUGAUUACUAUAUAAUACAGAGGAGGAGCUGUAAUCUGUGAAUCCAAGGAAGAUUAAAUGUGGAUAUGGAUAAUCACAAGCAGAGACAAGAAGUUCACUCGUAUUCCUCUGGUGGACAGAGACACUUCCUGACCUUGGAUGACUUGGAUGUAUGUAGAGGGACACAGCAUUCAUGGACAAUCUCUUGCUUAGCUGGAGAUGAGAAGAAGAGUAAGUGAGGACAGAUCCUGCUCAUUCUUAUAAAUUGUGACCCUCCCCCAUGUUUAUUUUGAUUUUCUCAUUCACAGAAAGGGCACAAGGGAAAUGGACCAAAGAGGAGCUGGUCUCAUCUCACUAAUAUCUGUGGGGUCUCAAGCAACCUUCAUUUAACUUAAUUGCAGUUAAUGGAUUUCUGUCCUGACUGACAGACCCUGUCAGGAUGAAAUGAAGACCAAGAAAGCACAUGACCACCUUCCAGAUAUCAAGUAAUACUCUACACUGAUGGCACAAGGAGGAUGUUGUCCUUUGUCACUCAAAACACAUUAUCCACUGCCAAGUCCAUGGU
rnacentral:lncRNA from 1 species